UUUUUAUAGAAAUAAUUAUAAAUAAAAUCUGCUCACUGAUAAUAUUUAAAAGCCGCAGAAUUUUUUACUGUGCAAAGGUAGCAUAAUCAUUUACCUAUUAAUUUUAGGCUAGUAUGAAAGAUUUAACAUUUAGAAUUCUAUUUAAAAAUUAAUUUUAUAAAUUAUUUUGAAUAUAAAAAAAUAUUCAUACAAAAAAAAGACAACAAGACCCUAUUGAACUUUACUAAAGUUUUGCUGGGGCAGCCUAACAAAAAUCAUCUUGUCAUUAAAAUAUAAAUAGAUCUAAUAAAAUUAAUUUAAUGAACAAGUUACCAUAGGGAUAACAGCGUAAUUUUAUUUUAAAGUUCUUAUUAAAAAUAAUGUUUACGACCUCGAUGUUGAAUAUUUACCUUAUUUUAGAAAAAUAAAAUAAAGGAAGUCUGUUCGACUUUUAAAUUUUUACA
rnacentral:rRNA from 1 species